GCCUACGUAGCUCAGUUGGCAGAGCGCGCCCUUGGUAAGGGCGAGGUCAUGGGUUCAAAUCCCAUCGUAGGCU
rnacentral:tRNA from 1 species